UACGUAGGGCGCAAGCGUUGUCCGGAAUUAUUGGGCGUAAAGAGCUCGUAGGCGGUUUGUCGCGUCUGCUGUGAAAACCUAAGGCUCAACCUUGGGCUUGCAGUGGGUACGGGCAGACUAGAGUGCGGUAGGGGUGACUGGAAUUCCUGGUGUAGCGGUGGAAUGCGCAGAUAUCAGGAGGAACACCGAUGGCGAAGGCAGGUCACUGGGCCGCAACUGACGCUGAGGAAGCGAAAGCGUGGGGAGCGAACAGG
rnacentral:rRNA from 1 species